CACGAUGAACAGAUCUACUUGCAUAGUUCACACUGAACACACGGUGUUGACAAUUCAAUCUUUCAAAUGUCUUUCGCUCCUAUCUGAUCCUUUUA
rnacentral:snoRNA from 1 species